rnacentral:rRNA from 1 species
GCGUCUUAGCAGGCGAUUCUUCCACGGCGCUCGAAGCGCGUCGUGGUAUUUCGCGUAUUGUAAUUUCAACACGAGCGGGGUCAAAUCCUUUGCAGACGACUUAGCUGUGCGAAACGGUCCUGUAAGCAGUAGAGUAGCCUUGUUGUUACGAUCUGCUGAGGGUAAGCCGUCCUUCGCCUCGAUUU